UGGGGAAUAUUGCACAAUGGGCGAAAGCCUGAUGCAGCAACGCCGCGUGAGUGAUGAAGGUCUUCGGAUUGUAAAGCUCUGUCUUUUGGGACGAUAAUGACGGUACCAAAGGAGGAAGCCACGGCUAACUACGUGCCAGCAGCCGCGGUAAUACGUAGGUGGCGAGCGUUGUCCGGAUUUACUGGGCGUAAAGGGUGCGUAGGCGGAUGUUUAAGUGAGAUGUGAAAUACCCGGGCUUAACUUGGGUGCUGCAUUUCAAACUGGAUAUCUAGAGUGCAGGAGAGGAGAAUGGAAUUCCUAGUGUAGCGGUGAAAUGCGUAGAGAUUAGGAAGAACACCAGUGGCGAAGGCGAUUCUCUGGACUGUAACUGACGCUGAGGCACGAAAGCGUGGGUAGCAAACAGGAUUAGAUACCCUGGUAGUCCACGCCGUAAACGAUGAGUACUAGGUGUAGGAGGUAUCGACCCCUUCUGUGCCGCAGUAAACACAUUAAGUACUCCGCCUGGGAAGUACGAUCGCAAGAUUAAAC
rnacentral:rRNA from 1 species